rnacentral:lncRNA from 1 species
GGGAGUCGGCGGUCAAGUUGGAUUUGUCGACCCUCAACAACUCCUAGAAACCAAUUUGUGAUUAUGCGAACUAAUGAGGUAGAAGCAGCAGCCAUGCGUAAUUCAUGCGGCCUCUUCGUGUCGUCCUUCAACGCACUUAUCAACAGGCAGAAAGUCCACGCAACGAUGAUAAAGGUUGUGCGGAAGGAGUGUGUUGCAGAGUAGCAUUGGUGGGUUCAAUUAGUUCAGGUCGAGAUGGAUCUAAUCGGGAUUUCCGCGGCAGGGGACACCGGAUUAAACCUUGCAAUGGAAGUUGUCGCAGAUGUGUAAGUGACUCCGUGCAGAGAAGCAUGAGGAACACAGUAAUCUCGUCACGAGACUAUGCGCAGACCGGAGAGAGCCAAGGGAGAAUCAGAGAUAAGGUUUUGAGUGAUCCAGCAAGGUCUGUAACGCACAUGGGUGUCUGCUC